AAUACGUGGCACACGGCUCAGUAACACGUAGUCAACAUGCCCAGAGGACGUGGAUAACCUCGGGAAACUGAGGAUAAACCGCGAUAGGCCAUAAUUACUGGAAUGGGUUAUGGCUUAAACCUAUAUGGCCUCUGGAUUGGACUGCGGCCGAUCAGGCUGUUGGUGAGGUAAUGGCCCACCAAACCUGUUACCGGUACGGGCUCUGAGAGGAGGAGCCCGGAGAUGGGCACUGAGACAAGGGCCCAGGCCCUAUGGGGCGCAGCAGGCGCGAAACCUCUGCAAUAGGCGAAAGCCUGACAGGGUUACUCUGAGUGAUUCCCGCUAAGGGGAUCUUUUGGCACCUCUAAAAAUGGUGCAGAAUAAGGGGUGGGCAAGUCUGGUGUCAGCCGCCGCGGUAAUACCAGCACCCCGAGUGGUCGGGACGAUUAUUGGGCCUAAAGCAUCCGUAGCCGGUCAUGCAAGCCCUCCGUUAAAUCCACCUGCUUAACAGAUGGGCUGCGGAGGAUACUACAAGGCUAGGAGGCGGAAGAGGCAAGCGGUACUCAGUGGGUAGGGGUAAAAUCCUCUGAUCCAUUGAAGACCACCAGUGGCGAAGGCGGCUUGCCAAUACGCGCUCGACGGUGAGGGAUGAAAGCUGGGGGAGCAAACCGGAUUAGAUACCCGGGUAGUCCCAGCUGUAAACGAUGCAGACUCGGUGAUGGGCCGGCUUUAUGCCGGCUCAGUGCCGCAGGGAAGCCGUUAAGUCUGCCGCCUGGGGAGUACGGUCGCAAGACUGAAACUUAAAGGAAUUGGCGGGGGAGCACCACAAGGGGUGAAGCCUGCGGUUCAAUUGGAGUCAACGCCGGA
rnacentral:rRNA from 1 species